GUGCAUCCACCCAGGCUUCCUGAUGUUCCCUUUCAGUUUCCCAUCCAGGUACUGACAAGGCCCUACCCCACUGAGCUUCCAAGAUCUGAUGGGAUCAGACAUCCUCAAGACAGUAUGGCUUUAUAGG